UUGAGAAGGUGUAAAAACAGACCUCCACUCCAAAAAAUCAUUCGCUCCUCUCGGCUUUUCCUCCCGACUUCGCCUCUUGGCAGAGCAGGCUCUCCAAAUCAACAAAGGAUGACUUCCUUCAAGGACCGCUGGCAAGUCUUGGGUGCUGCACCCAAGUCAGCAAUGACGGCUUCUGCAGCUUCUGGUCUGGGCACCCUUUCAGCUUCUACUGGGACCAGUGCCAAGACGUCCCCCCCGCCGGCUUCAGGAACAUCGGGAGCUUCGUGAAGUCCUCUGGGAGCCUCUGUGGGAGCGUCUGUGCAAACCUCAAUGGGGACAUUGUUGGGAGGCUCUCUGGGGAGCUUGAGGGGCUCUCUGGGCUCCUGGGUCACUUUGGAAACUGCGGAUUAAGUCUCCCCUUCUCCGUUCAGUUUGUGAACAGAACCAUCUGAGCUAUUCCCAGCAGAAUUAGCGCCCAAGGCAUGAAAUGCAGGACUUGGAUUCAUGGUUUAGGUUACGGUGCUGAGAAAUGACGAGCGCUCACGCCUCUGACUCUGGGGGAUGUGUGGGUGCCAGGUGGUGUAGGAUACUCCAAAUGUAACCCUCUGUGGGAUCUCCUGUCUCUCCAGCUGUCACUCUGAAAGGGCUGAGGCACCUUUAGAGCACUUUGGUGGAGUAGAGAGAGACUUUUGGGUGUGAGGAAAGAGCUUUUUAAGUUCAUUCGCAGCCACUUUGUGUUGCCACAGUAGUGGGAAUUUCUGCAACAAAGUCCACUUUGCUCCACUCUGACCAAAGGUGACUUUUAGCAGAGCAGCUCCUGUUCUGUGUCCCUGCUGCACCUCACCUGACACUGAACACGGUGAAGAAACACGUUUGGUCUGGUACACUCCACCAUUUCCACCAGGAAAAACAUCGCUCACCAUAGGGAACUUGCCAAAGCCCCUUUUGUAUCUCUGCCAAUUUCUUCUUUCUGUUCCUCCCUGCUUCUCAUUUUCAUUAAAAUUACUCUGUUUAGUA